rnacentral:tRNA from 1 species
GAAUAGCUCAGUUGGUAGAGCGCAACCUUGCCAAGGUUGAGGUCGCGAGUUCGAGUCUCGUUUCCCGCUCCA